UACGGAGGGGGCUAGCGUUGUUCGGAAUUACUGGGCGUAAAGCGCGCGUAGGCGGAUCUGCAAGUCGGGGGUGAAAUCCCGAGGCUCAACCUCGGAACUGCCUUCGAUACUGCGGGUCUCGAGUCCGGGAGAGGUGAGUGGAAUUCUUAGUGUAGAGGUGAAAUGCGCAGAUAUCAGGAAGAACACCCGUGGCGAAGGCGGUUCUCUGGGACGGUACUGACGCUGAGACGCGAAAGCGUGGGGAGCGAACAGG
rnacentral:rRNA from 1 species